rnacentral:rRNA from 1 species
GACGAACGCUGGCGGCGUGCUUAACACAUGCAAGUCGAGCGGUAGGGCCCUUUCGGGGGUACACGAGCGGCGAACGGGUGAGUAACACGUGGGUGACCUGCCCUCAGCUCUGGGAUAAGCCUGGGAAACCGGGUCUAAUACUGGAUAUGACUCCAUGACGCAUGUUGUGGGGUGGAAAGCCUUGUGCGGCUGAGGAUGGGCCCGCGGCCUAUCAGCUUGUUGGUGGGGUGANGGCCUACCAAGGCGACGACGGGUAGCCGGCCUGAGAGGGCGACCGGCCACACUGGGACUGAGACACGGCCCAGACUCCUACGGGAGGCAGCAGUGGGGAAUCUUGCGCAAUGGGCGAAAGCCUGACGCAGCGACGCCGCGUGAGGGAUGACGGCCUCGG